rnacentral:rRNA from 1 species
AAUCGUACCCCAAACCGACACAGGUGGUCAGGUAGAGAAUACCAAGGCGCUUGAGAGAACUCGGGUGAAGGAACUAGGCAAAAUGGUGCCGUAACUUCGGGAGAAGGCACGCUGGUGUGUAGGUGAAGUCCCUGCGGAUGGAGCUGAGACCAGUCGAAGAUACCAGCUGGCUGCAACUGUUUAUUAAAAACACAGCACUGUGCAAACACGAAAGUGGACGUAUACGGUGUGACGCCUGCCCGGUGCCGGAAGGUUAAUUGAUGGGGUUAUCCGUAAGGAGAAGCUCUUGAUCGAAGCCCCGGUAAACGGCGGCCGUAACUAUAACGGUCCUAAGGUAGCGAAAUUCCUUGUCGGGUAAGUUCCGACCUGCACGAAUGGCGUAAUGAUGGCCAGGCUGUCUCCACCCGAGACUCAGUGAAAUUGAACUCGCUGUGAAGAUGCAGUGUACCCGCGGCAAGACGGAAAGACCCCGUGAACCUUUACUAUAGCUUGACACUGAACAUUGAGCCUUGAUGUGUAGGAUAGGUGGGAGGCUUUGAAGCGUGGACGCCAGUCUGCGUGGAGCCAACCUUGAAAUACCACCCUUUAAUGUUUGAUGUUCUAACGUUGGCCCCUUACCGGGGUUGCGGACAGUGUCUGGUGGGUAGUUUGACUGGGGCGGUCUCCUCCCAAAGCGUAACGGAGGAGCACGAAGGUUAGCUAAUCCUGGUCGGACAUCAGGAGGUUAGUGCAAUGGCAUAAGCUAGCUUGACUGCGAGCGUGACGGCGCGAGCAGGUGCGAAAGCAGGUCAUAGUGAUCCGGUGGUUCUGAAUGGAAGGGCCAUCGCUCAACGGAUAAAAGGUACUCCGGGGAUAACAGGCUGAUACCGCCCAAGAGUUCAUAUCGACGGCGGUGUUUGGCACCUCGAUGUCGGCUCAUCACAUCCUGGGGCUGAAGUAGGUCCCAAGGGUAUGGCUGUUCGCCAUUUAAAGUGGUACGCGAGCUGGGUUUAGAACGUCGUGAGACAGUUCGGUCCCUAUCUGCCGUGGGCGCUGGAGAAUUGAGGGGGGCUGCUCCUAGUACGAGAGGACCGGAGUGGACGCAUCACUGGUGUUCGGGUUGUCAUGCCAAUGGCACUGCCCGGUAGCUAAAUGCGGAAGAGAUAAGUGCUGAAAGCAUCUAAGCACGAAACUUGCCCCGAGAUGAGUUCUCCCUGAGACUUUAAGUCUCCUGAAGGAACGUUGAAGACGACGACGUUGAUAGGCCGGGUGUGUAAGCGCAGCGAUGCGUUGAGCUAACCGGUACUAAUGAACCGUGAGGCUUAACC